UACGUAGGGUGCGAGCGUUAAUCGGAAUUACUGGGCGUAAAGCGCGCGUAGACGGUUUUGUAAGUCAGAUGUGAAAUCCCCGGGCUCAACCCGGGAACUGCGUCCGAUACUGGAAGGCUUGAAUCCGGGAGAGGGAUGCGGAAUUCCAGGUGUAGCGGUGAAAUGCGUAGAUAUCUGGAGGAACACCGGUGGCGAAGGCGGCAUCCUGGACCGGUAUUGACGCUGAGGCGCGAAAGCCAGGGGAGCAAACGGG
rnacentral:rRNA from 1 species